rnacentral:tRNA from 1 species
AGGUAGUUGAUAGUUGAUUUGCAAUUAACUUUUAUGGUAACAUACUAUGAA